UACGUAGGGUGCGAGCGUUGUCCGGAAUUAUUGGGCGUAAAGGGCUCGUAGGCGGUUUGUCGCAUCGGGAGUGAAAUCCACUGGCUUAACUGGUGGCUUGCUUUCGAUACGGGCAGACUGGAGGUAUGCAGGGGAGAACGGAAUUCCUGGUGUAGCGGUGAAAUGCGCAGAUAUCAGGAAGAACACCCGUGGCGAAGGCGGCUCUCUGGGACGGUACUGACGCUGAGACGCGAAAGCGUGGGGAGCGAACAGG
rnacentral:rRNA from 1 species